UACGGAGGGUGCGAGCGUUGUCCGGAAUCACUGGGCGUAAAGGGCGCGUAGGUGGCGGGUCAAGCGUGCGGUGAAAGCUUGGGGCUCAACCCCGAGUCGGCCGUGCGAACUGGCUUGCUUGAGCACUGUAGAGGCAGAUGGAAUUCCGGGUGUAGUGGUGAAAUGCGUAGAGAUCCGGAGGAACACCAGUGGCGAAGGCGACACGCUGGGCCGUACCUGACACUGAACCGCGACAGCAUGGGGAGCAAACAGG
rnacentral:rRNA from 1 species